GCCUGGGUGGCUCAGUCGGUUGAGCGUCCGACUUCGGCUCAGGUCAUGAUCUCCGGUCUGUGAGUUCGAGCCCCACGUCGGGCU
rnacentral:tRNA from 1 species